AGGGAUUCCAAGGAUAAAAGCAUCGAAAGAGGUCCCAUGAGCUCUACCGGAAGGGGCGUGACUUCGCCACUAUACAGAACGCAAUUCGGCAACAUCAAACAAACUAACAUAGCUUACUAUCAAGCAAGCUAUCAGACCUUCAUGUAUAGAGGAACUUGGCCCAACGAGGAACUUGGCCCAACAAUCUUUCAUGUGUGCAAAUUUCUCAAUAACAACUCUGUUGAAAUCAGGACACGCCCUGUCUUCUAUCAAUUUAAAAGAGGAAUCAAAGGGGUAGACCGGUGUGGUUCACACCGCCGACGACUGUUGGACCAUUUCAUUCAGAGAGCCCACACCA
ensembl:lncRNA